rnacentral:rRNA from 1 species
AAUGAACGCUGGCGGCAUGGAUUAGGCAUGCAAGUCGAACGGUAACAGAGAAGCUUGCUUCUGCUGACGAGUGGCGUAAGGGUGAGUAACGCGUGAGUAACCUACCUUAAGGUUGGGGAUAGCCCCGCGAAAGCGGGAUUAAUACCGAAUGUGGCGUUCUGCUAUACAGCAGAAUUGCUAAAGGAGUAAUCCGCCUUUAGAUGGGCUCGCGUCCUAUUAGCUUGUUGGUGAGGUAACGGCUCACCAAGGCUACGACAGGUAGGUGGUCUGAGAGGAUGGUCACCCACACUGGGACUGAGACACUGCCCAG